GGAAGAAGGCAGCAGAGACUUAUCAUGUUUUGCCCUUCUCCUGGGAGACCUAAAGAACAAACAGAAAAUCGGUCUGAUGAAGAAAAAAAAAAAAAAAAACAUAGCUGAGACUGGCUUGAAAAGCAGGCAAUGGAGGGGAAGACUCCUAGGAUGCUGUGUCAGAUGUCUUUUGUACCUUUAGUGCAUCUGCAGAGGGAAGAGUGUAAACACUGCUCUGGGGAGCGGAGGAGGCUAUAAGGAAAUGAACAGUAAAGACAGAGAAGCAAGAUGGCAGCGGUGGAAAGGGAGCAGAGACGGCCUUGGUGGUGCAGAGGAGAAUCAGGGAGCCUGCUCUUUGCCUAUGAAGAGUAGAAGACAGUAGUAGCAUCCAGAUGAUUGUGUCCAAACCCAGCAACAACAGACUACACAGCUCCUGACUACUGCCAAAUGCCCACAGGGCCCUCUGUUUGGGUGAGGUGUCCAUACUGAAAACACAUGUGACCAGAUCAAUCAAGAGCAGCAAUGGAAAUACUGCAGUAACGGCGGCCAUGACUGUUCCUUGUUGGGCUCUUCUCAGACUGCUGGUGUGUAUCCGUGAAGUGUUUGCAAGUGGAGUGAGUUGCUGCUGCCUGCUGACCUGUGAACUGAACAGCCGAUUUCCACACUUGAUCUUAGCCUAAAGGUCGAGAAGUGAUGCUGCCGAUUUCCGGACAACACAGAUGGAAGAUGUUCUGGCAAUCUUUCUAAACAGGUCCACUUCCCCUGUAUUCUUUCUUUCCCACUUCCUCUGGUGGGUGGUGGGCUAAAAAGGAGGUUAAAGUGUUUAAAAACCAACAUUAAAAAUAAGGUUUAAAAAAAUCAGAGUUACCCUUGGCUCUAAACACACAGUAUGUGCCCUCUGCCCAGUGUAUACCCUUGUGCUACCCAAUGCCAAUAAAUGCUGCCUGUAGCUCAGACUCGAGACUGUUGUGUGCUAGGCAUGGCAGUGACUGACGGUACAUACAUCAUUUUCUCUUAGAUAAACAUAGUCAUUCAGUUAUGGAAAGCAAAGACCUUUGUGUUUUUUACUGACAUUCCUCAGGGUGUUAAUAUUAAGCUUCGACUUUAGACUACAUUGCUUUAGAAUGUUUAAUCUUAAAAGUUAACUGUUUUAAAAAUUGUUAAAUGAAUAUUGGCUUGACAUUAGUACAGAUUCCCAAUCAGUUCCGAAAUGGUAAGCUUCUGUUGUUUUGCACUCCAUAUUCAUAUGACACGGUAUUUUCAGCACUCAGGACUGUAAAAUCAAAAUAUCAAUUAACUCUGAAAAACAUUGAAACACUGAAGAUUUUCUGCCUCCUGCGGUUUCAAGACUUAAUGCCUUAUGUGGAAAGAAACAAGGAUUUCUACUUUAAGUGGAUCACAUUCGCUUUAGCCUUUAAUGAAUAGUAAGAUUACAUAAAUAUCAAAGAAUUAUUCUAAAAUAGAUUUAUGAGUUAUUGUCCGUCAAUGUUUACUUGGUAUGCCUAUUUUAUAUGCUUGAUAUCAUGAAAGAAUUUUGGGACAAAGGGAGUCACAAGCAGAAAGGCCUUGAUCUAAAGGAACUCUUAGCAUUCCACAGAGAAAGAGACAUUCCAGUCGCCAUGAUGGUUACAGGGAGACUAUCUGAUGAGUCUGACAUUAGCCUUAGUUCCAGGUCAUAAGUAAUAAGACCAUGGACACAAGAUAAAUCCUUUUAAACACCCCAAGUAGGGAUUGCUGCAUAUGAGUUAAAAUUGAAGGCAGGGAAUUUUCUGGAAGUAAAUUCAUUGAAAACAGUUACUGAAAUCAUGAUGAAUGAUCCAGUGUUUGUAAUUGUUAAAAAAUCAAAAUACUGAAAGAGAUUUGGGGUGAACAUAAAACCUCUUUUUAGCUCAUUGUCAAAUAACACCCUAAAUUAUGAUAAUUUUUUCAAAGAUAAUUGAGACAGAGAAAAAGUUUGUAAUUUCUGAAAGCAUCAUCAAUGAAUUGAAAAUGACUUAUGAGUAGUCUGUAUACCCAGUGGAUUUGGGUGGUUGGAGAAGUGGGAAGGAUCAGGGAAGAUUUGGGGAAAGAGAACCUACAGUCAGAAUAUAGUCUAUAAGAAAAAUCUGCUUUCAACUAAAAAAUUAUUUAGUUAAAUAAAAUAACUAUGAUUUGAAACAAAUAAAAAUACUUUAAAAAUCUAUUAUGUACAAGAAAUGUAGUAAAAAUAAUCCAAAGCCAAAUAAAUACCUUAAAGAAAAGAUC
ensembl:lncRNA